GAUGAAGAACGUAGCGAAAUGCGAUAAGUAAUGUGAAUUGCAGAAUUCAGUGAAUCAUCGAAUCUUUGAACGCACAUUGCGCCCCUUGGUAUUCCGAGGGGCAUGCCUGUUCGAGCGUCAUUAUAACCCCUCAAGCUCAGCUUGGUGUUGGGGCCUGCUGCACUGGCAGCCCUUAAAAUCAGUGGCGGCGCCAUCUGGCUCUAAGCGUAGUAAUUCUUCUCGCUAUGGAGUCCUGGUGGAUGCUUGCCAUCAACCCCCAAUUUUUCUAUGGUUGACCUCGGAUCAGGUAGGGAUACCCGCUGAACUUAAGCAUAUCAAUAAGGGAGGA
rnacentral:misc_RNA from 1 species